CCAAUCGAACCCGGAGAUAGCUGGUUCUCCUCGAAAUAGCUUUAGGGCUAGCCUCGAUACAGAUUUGCGGAGGUAGAGCACUGAAUUUCCUAGGGGGCGUCAAAGCCUACCGAAGAAUAUCAAACUCCGAAUGCCGCGUAAUCGAUUAUCGGGAGUCAGACUGCACGAGAUAAGUUGGGCGGUCAAAAGGGAAAGAGCCCAGACCUUCAGUUAAGGUCCCCAAGUGCGCGUUAAGUGGAAAAGGAUGUGGGAUUUCGAAGACAACCAGGAUGUUGGCUCAGAAGCAGCCAUCCAUUCAAAGAGUGCGUAAUAGCUCACUGGUCGAGAGGUCCUGCGCCGAAAAUGUCCGGGGCUGAAACGCGCCACCGAAACUAAGGAACCGAAAGGUUGGUAGAGGAGCAUUGCAUGCGGGAAGAAGCAGUACCGUAAGGAGCUGUGGACUGCAUGGAAGAGAGAAUGCCGGAAUGAGUAGCGAGAAUAAGGUGGGAAUCCUUAUGGCCGAAUAUCCAAGGUUUCCAGAGUAAAGCUGAUCUGCUCUGGGUAAGUCGGGGCCUAAGGCGAGGACGAGAGUCGUAGCCGAUGGACAACAGGUGGAGAUUCCUGUACUGCGGUAUGACAGAACUGUGGGGACACGUAAGGAAAGCGGAAGCCGGGAAUGGAAAGCCCGGUGCAAGCGGGGUACCAGUCACUUUGGCAAAUCCGGGUGGCAAUGGGAAGCCGUGAUGCGGAGCGAAAUAAAGUAGCGAAGUCCGUGAGCCAUGCGUCAAGAAAAGCCGCUAUCGUUUAUACCGUACCCGUACCGUAAACCGACACAGGUGGAUGAGGAGAGAAUCCUAAGGCCGGCGGAAGAAGCAUUGUCAAGGAACUCGGCAAAAUGGCCCCGUAACUUAGGGAUAAGGGGUGCCUGGGAAACCAGGCCGCAGAGAAUAGGCUCAAGCAACUGUUUAGCAAAAACACAGGUCUAUGCGAAACCGAAAGGUGAGGUAUAUGGGCUGACGCCUGCCCGGUGCUGGAAGGUUAAGAGGAGAGGUUAGCGGUAACGCGAAGCUUUGAAUUUAAGCCCCAGUAAACGGCGGCCGUAACUAUAACGGUCCUAAGGUAGCGAAAUUCCUUGUCGGGU
rnacentral:rRNA from 1 species